UUAGUUCUGAGUGAAUUCCCUCGGUAUGAUAAUUCUUUCAUCAGUUUGUUCCCUGUUUCUUCUCUAUCCUGAGCCUGACACACUAUUCUAGCUAGACAUGGGUGUGGCUCGUAACACCUGAUGACUAAAUGGAUCGACGGCACCAUCGAAUCUCAAACUUUAACUGCCAAAACUAUUGUUUUUCAUCCUGUAGUCCCAUUUAGAAUUAGUAAACGUCCUUUUUUGGGCCGAGAUUUAGAGGAACGCUUUCUCGGGGUUUGUGUGCAAGUAUUUCAAACCAUACGGACCUAAAAAUUAGAAGUCAUUCCAUCUUUAUUCCCCUAGUCAUCAGGUAUACACUCAAGUCGGAGCACGUUAUCAUUCUUGUUAGUUCUGAGUGAAUUCCCUCGGUAUGAUAAUUCUUUCAUAAAUUUGUUCCCCGUUUCUUAUAUGGCCUGAGCCUGACACACUAUUCUAGCUAGACAUGGGUGUGGCUCGUAACACCUGAUGACCAAACGGAUCUACGGCACCAUCAAAUCUCAAACUUUAACUGCCAAAACUAUUCUUUUUCAUUCUGUAGUCCCUUCUAGAAUUACUAAACGUCCUUUUUUGGGCCGAGAUUUCCAGGAACGCUUUCUCGGGGUUUGUGUGCAUGUAUUUCAAACCAUACAGACCUAAAAAUUAUAAGUCAUUCCAUCUUUAUUCCCGUAGAGCCUUCCAGUAGUUCCUAAACCGCUCCAGUCGGAGCAUGUUAUCAUUCUUGUUAGUUCUAAGUGAAUUCCCUCGGUAUGAUAAUUCUUUCAUCAGUUUGUUCCCCGUUUCUUCUCUAGCCUGAGCCUGGCACACUAGUCUAGCUAGACAUGGGUGUGGCUCGUAACACCCGAUGACUAAAUGGAUCGACGGCACCAUCGAAUCUCAAACUUUAACUGCCAAAACUAUUGUUUUUCAUCCUGUAGUCCCAUUUAGAAUUACUAAACGUCCUUUUUUGGGCCGAGAUUUAGAGGAACGCUUUCUCGUGGUUUGUGUGCAAGAAUUUCAAACCAUACGGACCUAAAAAUUAGAAGUCAUUCCAUCUUUAUUCCCCUAGAGCCUUCCAGUAGUUCCUAAACCGCUCUAGUCGGAGCACGUUAUCAUUCUUGUUAGUUCUGAGAGAAUUCCCUCGGUAUGAUAAUUCUUUUAUCAGUUUGUUCCCCGUUUCUUCUCUAGCCUGAGCCCGACACACUAUUCUAGCUAGACAUGGGUGUGGCUCGUAACACCUGAUGACCAAACGGAUCUACGGCACCAUCGAAUCUCAAACUUUAACUGCCAAAACUAUUGUUUUUCAUCCUGUAGUCCCUUUUAGAAUUACUAAAUGUCCUUUUUUGGGCCGAGAUUUCCAGGAACGCUUUCUCAGGGUUUGUGUGCAAGUAAUUCAAACCAUACGGACCUAAAAAUUAGAAGUCAUUCCAUCUUUAUUCCCCUAGAGCCUUCCAGCAGUUCCUAAACCGCUCAAGUCAGUGCACGUUAUCAUUCUUGUUAGUUCUAAGUGAAUUCCCUCGGUAUGAUAAUUUGUUCAUCAGUUUGUUCCCCGUUUCUUCUCUAGCCUGAGCCUGACACACUAUUCUAGCUAGACAUGGGUGUGGCUCGUAACACCUGAUGACCAAACGGAUCUACGACACCAUCGAAUCUCAAACUUUAACUACCAAAACUAUUGUUUUUCAUCCUCUAGUCCCUUUUAGAAUUACUAAACGUCCUUUUUUGGGCCGAGAUUUCCAGGAACGCUUUCUCGGGGUUUGUGUGCAUGUAUUUCAAACCAUACAGACCUAAAAAUUAGAAGUCAUUCCAUCUUUAUUCCCGUAGAGCCUUCCAGCAGUUCCUAAACCGCUCCAGUCGGAGCAUGUUAUCAUUCUUGUUUGUUCUGAGUGAAUUCCCUCGGUAUGAUAAUUCUAUCAUCAGUUUGUUCCCCGUUUCUUCUCUAGCCUGAGCCUGGCAAACUAUUCUAGCUAGACAUGGGUGUGGCUCGUAACACCUGAUGACCAAACGGAUCUACGACACCAUCGAAUCUCAAACUUUAACUACCAAAACUAUUGUUUUUCAUUCUAUAGUCCCUUCUAGAAUUUCUAAACGUCCUUUUUUGGGCCGAGAUUUCCAGGAAUGCUUUCUCGGGGUUUGUGUGCAAGUAUUUCAAAUCAUACGGACCUAAAAAUUAGAAGUCAUUCCAUCUUUAUUCCCCUAGAGCCUUCCAGUAGUUCCUAAACCGCUCCAGUCGGAGCACGUUAUCAUUCUUGUUAGUUCAUAGUGAAUUCCCUCGGUAUGAUAAUUCUUUCAUCAGUUUGUUCCCCGUUUCUUCUCUAGCCUGAGCCUGGCACAGUAUUCUAGCUAGACAUGGGUGUGGUCGUAACACCUGAUGACUAAAUGGAUCGACGGCACCAUCGAAUCUCAAACUUUAACUGCCAAAACUAUUGUUUUUCAUCCUGUAAUCCCAUUUAGAAUUACUAAACGUCCUUUUUUGGGCCGAGAUUUAGAGGAACGCUUUGUUGGGGUUUGUGUGCAAGUAUUUCAAACCAUACGGACCUAAAAAUUAGAACUCAUUCCAUAUUUAUUCCCCUUGAGCCUUCCAGCAGUUCCUAAACCGCUCUAGUCGGAGCACGUUAUCAUUCUUGUUAGUUCUAAGAGAAUUCCCUCGGUAUGAUAAUUCUUUUAUCAGUUUGUUCCCCGUUUCUUCUCUAGACUGGGCCCGACACACUAUUCUAGCUAGACAUGGGUGUGGCUCGUAACACCUGAUGACCAAACGGAUCUACGGCACCAUCGAAUCUCAAACUUCAACUGCCAAAACUAUUGUUUUUCAUCCUGUAGUCCCUUUUAGAAUUACUAAACGUCCUUUUUUGGGCCGAGAUUUCCAGGAACGCUUUCUCGGGGUUUGUGUGCAAGUAUUUCAAACCAUACGGACCUAAAAAUUAGAAGUCAUUCCAUCUUUAUUCCCGUAGAGCCAUCCAGCAGUUCCUAAACCGCUCCAGUCGGAGCACGUUAUCAUUCUUGUUAGUUCUGAGUGAAUUCCCUCGGUAUGAUAAUUCUUUCAUCAGUUUGUUCCCCGUUUCUUCUCUAGCCUGAGCCUGACAAACUAUUAUAGCUAGACAUGGGUGUGGCUCGUAACACCUGAUGACCAAACGGAUCUAUGGCACCAUCGAAUCUCAAACUUUAACUGCCAAAACUAUUGUUUUUCAUCCUGUAGUCCCUUUUAGAAUUACUAAACGCCCUUCUUUGGGACGAGAUUUCCAGGAACGCUUUCUCGGGGUUUGUGUGAAAGUAAUUCAAACCAUACGGACCUAAAAAUUAGAAGUCAUUCCAUCUUUAUUCCCGUGGAGCCUUCCAGUAGUUCCUAAACCGCUCCAGUCGGAGCACGUUAUCAUUCUUGUUAGUUCUGAGUGAAUUCCCUCGGUAUGAUAAUUCUUUCAUCAGUUUGUUCCCUGUUUCUUCUCUAGCCUGAGCCUGGCACACUAUUCUAGCUAGACAUGGGUGUGGCUCGUAACACCUGAUGACUAAACUGAUCAAUGACACCAUCGAAUCUCAAACUUUAACUGCCAAAACUAUUGUUUUUCAUCCUGUAGUCCCAUUUAGAAUUACUAAACGUCCUUUUUUGGGCCGAGAUUUCCAGGAACGCUUACUCGGGGUUUGUGUGCAAGUAUUUCAAACCAUACUGACCUAAAAAUUAGAAGUCAAUCCAUCUUUAUUCCCCUAGAGCCUUCCAGCAGUUCCUAAACCGCUCCAGUCGGAGCACGUUAUCAUUCUUGUUAGUUCUGAGUGAAUUCCCUCGGUAUGAUAAUUCUUUCAUCAGUUUGUUCCUUGUUUCUUCUCUAGCCUGAACCUGACACACUAUUCUAGCUAGACAUGGGUGUGGCUCGUAACACCUGAUGACCAAACGGAUCUACGGCACCAUCGAAUCUCAAACUUUAACUGCCAAAACUAUUAUUUUUAAUCCUCUAGUCCCAUUUAGAAUUACUAAACGUCCUUUUUUGGGCCGAGAUUUAGAGGAACGCUUUCAUGCGGUUUGUGUGCAAGUAUUUCAAACCAUACGGACCUAAAAAUUAGAAGUCAUUCCAUCUUUAUUCCCCUAGAGCCUUCCAGCAGUUCCUAAACCGCUCCAGUCGGAGCAUGUUAUCAUUCUUGUUAGUUCUGAGUGAAUUCCCUCGGUAUGAUAAUUCUUUCAUCAGUUUGUGGCCCGUUUCUUCUCUAGCCUGAGCCUGACACACUAUUCUAGCUAGACGUGGGUGUGGCUCGUAACACCUGAUGACCAAACGGAUCUACGGCACCAUCGAAUCUCAAACUUUAAGUGCCAAAACUAUUAUUUUUAAUCCUGUAGUCCCAUUUAGAAUUACAAAAAUGUCCUUUUUUGGGCUGAGAUUUCCAGGAACGCUUUCGUGCGGUUUGUGUGCAAGUAUUUCAAACCAUACAGACCAAAAAAUUAGAAGUCAUUCCAUCUUUAUUCC
rnacentral:lncRNA from 1 species